rnacentral:rRNA from 1 species
GACGAACGCUGGCGGCGUGCUUAACACAUGCAAGUCGAACGGUAAGGCCCUUCGGGGUACACGAGUGGCGAACGGGUGAGUAACACGUGGGUGAUCUGCCCUGCACUUCGGGAUAAGCCUGGGAAAAUGGGUCUAAUACCGGAUAGGACCACUGCCUGCAUGGGUGGGGGUGGAAAGCUUUUGCGGUGUAGGAGGGGCCCGCGGCCUAUCAGCUUGGUGGUGGGGUGAUGGCCUACCAAGGCGACGACGGGUAGCCGGCCUGAGAGGGUGACCGGACACAAUGGGAAUGAGAUACGGCCCAGACUCCUCCGGGAGGCAGCAGUGGGGAAUAUUGCACAAUGGGCGCAAGCCUGAUGCAGCGGCGCCGCGUGAGGGAUGACGGCCUUCGGGUUGUAAACCUCUUUCAGCACCGACGAAGCGCAAGUGACGGUAGGUGCAGAAGAAGGACCGGCCAACUACGUGCCAGCAGCCGCCGUAA